UACAGAGGUCUCAAGCGUUGUUCGGAUUCAUUGGGCGUAAAGGGUGCGUAGGCGGCGCGGUAAGUCGGGUGUGAAAUCUCGAGGCUUAACUCCGAAACUGCAUUCGAUACUGCCGUGCUUGAGGACUGGAGAGGAGACUGGAAUUUACGGUGUAGCGGUGAAAUGCGUAGAUAUCGUAAGGAAGACCAGUGGCGAAGGCGGGUCUCUGGACAGUUCCUGACGCUGAGGCACGAAGGCCAGGGGAGCAAACGGG
rnacentral:rRNA from 1 species